CCUACGGGAGGCAGCAGUGGGGAAUAUUGGACAAUGGGCGCAAGCCUGAUCCAGCCACGCCGCGUGAGUGAUGAAGGCCUUAGGGUUGUAAAGCUCUUUUGUCCGGGACGAUAAUGACGGUACCGGAAGAAUAAGCCCCGGCUAACUUCGUGCCAGCAGCCGCGGUAAUACGAAGGGGGCUAGCGUUGCUCGGAAUUACUGGGCGUAAAGGGCGCGUAGGCGGCCAUUCAAGUCGGGGGUGAAAGCCUGUGGCUCAACCACAGAAUUGCCUUCGAUACUGUUUGGCUUGAGUAUGGUAGAGGUCAGUGGAACUGCGAGUGUAGAGGUGAAAUUCGUAGAUAUUCGCAAGAACACCAGUGGCGAAGGCGGCUGACUGGACCAUUACUGACGCUGAGGCGCGAAAGCGUGGGGAGCAAACAGGAUUAGAUACCCUGGUAGUCCACGCCGUAAACGAUAGAUAGCUAGCUGUUGGGUGGUCGUUGCACCGCAGUAGCGCGAGCUAACGUACGUUAACGUACACUUCCGUCCGUCGGGGAGGUACGGUCGGCGAAGAAUUAAAACGUUAAAAGGUAAAGUUAGACGGACGUGAGACGUGCCGAACGGACGACGACGAGGGAGGUAGG
rnacentral:rRNA from 1 species